rnacentral:rRNA from 1 species
UACGAAGGGGGCUAGCGUUGCUCGGAAUGACUGGGCGUAAAGGGCGCGUAGGCGGACUGCACAGUCAGGCGUGAAAUUCCUGGGCUUAACCUGGGGGCUGCGUCUGAGACGUGUGAUCUAGAGUGAGGAAGAGGGUCGUGGAAUUUCCAGUGUAGAGGUGAAAUUCGUAGAUAUUGGAAAGAACACCGGUGGCGAAGGCGGCGACCUGGUCCUUGACUGACGCUGAGGCGCGAAAGCGUGGGGAGCAAACAGGGAUUAGAUACCCUGGUAGUCCACGCUGUAAACGAUGUGUGCUUGAUGUUGGGGUGCUUAGCACUUCAGUGUCGGAGCUAACGCGGUAAGCACACCGCCUGGGGAGUACGGCCGCAAGGUUGAAACUCA